GCAAUAAUGAAAGGUGUUAUACGUCGGCAACUUCUCGCUCUAAUCCGCCAUCUUGAACUACCUUAGGAGAAACUGUGUUGUUUCUUUGCUAUUUUCACUGAACAUUUCCCAAAAUAUUAGAAAAAAAUUCUAAACAAGCUACAUUGAUUCAAUUUUCGUUGUUCGUUUUAUUCUUAUUCGCUGACAUUUGUUUUCCAAUUGCGUGAAAUUUGGUCAUUUCCUUAGUGUUUCGCUGACCGACCUGUGCUGGUAUUGUGAUUAAGAGCUAAUACACAUUUUUCGGACGAUUCUGCUGUGCUGCGUUCCUGCUCCGCCUGUGUAUUGCUCUUCCCGUGUUUUAUAGUGUUGCGUUCCUGUUGCGCCUUUGCGUUGAAGUAAGUUGAAACCAGAUUUUUGUUUGUUAAAAACCUAAAACACCAUUUAUUUGCAGAUUUUUUGUAUGCUUCUGCUGUGCUGCGUUCCUGCUCCACCCGUGUAUUAGAUUGCUGCGUUCCUGUUAACAUACAUAUCGUCGCUUAAAGUACAAAACC